rnacentral:rRNA from 1 species
UGAGCUUGAUCCUGGCUCAGGAUGAACGCUAGCGGCAGGCUUAACACAUGCAAGUCGAGGGGUAGAAGUCUUCGGACUUUGAGACCGGCGCACGGGUGCGUAACGCGUAUGCAAUCUGCCUUUCACAGAGGGAUAGCCCAGAGAAAUUUGGAUUAAUACCUCAUAGUAUAACACAACCGCAUGGUUGAGUUAUUAAAGUCACAACGGUGAAAGAUGAGCAUGCGUCCCAUUAGCUAGUUGGUAAGGUAACGGCUUACCAAGGCAACGAUGGGUAGGGGUCCUGAGAGGGAGAUCCCCCACACUGGUACUGAGACACGGACCAGACUCCUACGGGAGGCAGCAGUGAGGAAUAUUGGACAAUGGGCGCAAGCCUGAUCCAGCCAUGCCGCGUGCAGGAUGACGGUCCUAUGGAUUGUAAACUGCUUUUGCACAGGAAGAAACAGCUCUACGUGUAGAGUCUGACGGUACG